GAUGAACGCUGGCGGCGUGCCUAAUACAUGCAAGUCGAGCGAACAGACGAGGAGCUUGCUCCUCUGACGUUAGCGGCGGACGGGUGAGUAACACGUGGAUAACCUACCUAUAAGACUGGGAUAACUUCGGGAAACCGGAGCUAAUACCGGAUAAUAUAUUGAACCGCAUGGUUCAAUAGUGAAAGACGGUUUUGCUGUCACUUAUAGAUGGAUCCGCGCCGCAUUAGCUAGUUGGUAAGGUAACGGCUUACCAAGGCAACGGUGCGUAGCCGACCUGAGAGGGUGAUCGGCCACACUGGAACUGAGACACGGUCCAGACUCCUACGGGAGGCAGCAGUAGGGAAUUUUCCGCAAUGGGCGAAAGCCUGACGGAGCAACGCCGCGUGAGUGAUGAAGGUCUUCGGAUCGUAAAACUCUGUUAUUAGGGAAGAACAAAUGUGUAAGUAACUAUGCACGUCUUGACGGUACCUAAUCAGAAAGCCACGGCUAACUACGUG
rnacentral:rRNA from 1 species